AACAUAAUUUCAAUGAUUGGUAAAGAAGGCUAGACAUUUCAGCAUGUGCACUCUUGUGGAAUAAGGGGCUGAAAAAGGGCCAAAAAGAAGCAUUUUUCUAGUUUACAGACAAUAACUUGUGUUUAAGUGCAAGGUUUCUUACUACAAAGGAAAGGCUGGAAUUGAGUUUCCGGGUUCUUGCUUCAAGGAGGGUUUCAAUAAGUGAGGGGCCAAAAAAGGGGUCCAAAUAAGCAUUUUUGUAGUUUUCAGUCAAUAACUUGUGCUUAAGUAUAUAAAUCUCUCUGAAAUUGUACCACAAGUUUCCAUACUACAAAGGGAUAGUUAUAAGGGGUAAUUGAUCAAAUUAUUAAGCAAUUGGGGC
rnacentral:lncRNA from 1 species